GACUGGGAUAACUCUGGGAAACUGGGGAUAAUACUGGAUAUUUGGCUAUGCCUGGAAUGGUUUGCCUUUGAAAUGUUUUCUUUUUCGCCUAAGGAUAGAUCUGCGGCUGAUUAGGUCGUUGGUGGGGUAAUGGCCCACCAAGCCGAUGAUCGGUACGGGUUGUGAGAGCAAGAGCCCGGAGAUGGAACCUGAGACAAGGUUCCAGACCCUACGGGGUGCAGCAGGCGCGAAACCUCCGCAAUGUACGAAAGUGCGACGGGGGGAUCCCAAGUGUUAUGCUUUUUUUGUAUAACUUUUCAUUAGUGUAAAAAGCUUUUAGAAUAAGAGCUGGGCAAGACCGGUGCCAGCCGCCGCGGUAACACCGGCAGCUCGAGUGGUAGCUGUUUUUAUUGGGCCUAAAGCGUUCGUAGCCGGUUUGAUAAGUCUUUGGUGAAAGCUUGUAGCUUAACUAUAAGAAUUGCUGGAGAUACUAUUAGACUUGAAGUCGGGAGAGGUUAGAGGUACUACCGGGGUAGGGGUGAAAUCCUAUAAUCCUGGGAGGACCACCUGUGGCGAAGGCGUCUAACUGGAACGAUCUUGACGGUGAGUAACGAAAGCCAGGGGCGCGAACCGGAUUAGAUACCCGGGUAGUCCUGGCCGUAAACGAUGUAGACUUGGUGUUGGAAUGGCUUUGGGUUGUUCCGGUGCCGAAGGGAAGCUGUUAAGUCUACCGCCUGGGAAGUACGGUCGCAAGACUGAAACUUAA
rnacentral:rRNA from 1 species